rnacentral:lncRNA from 1 species
UUGAAAUUGCAAGAAAAAGGUUGUUUGUCCUAAACGGUGAAAGGAUUUUGGGAAUUUAAAUUUUGUAUUGUUCCUUGUUGCUGAGGAGGUUUUUCAGCCUCUUCCCUCCCAAACUCGAAACCCUAGUGAUUCCCUUCUAUAUAUAUAGUUGCCUAGGGGAUUUUUUUUGGAGAGUUGGAAAAAUUUUCAGAGCAAACACAGAGGAGAGCUUUGAGCAAAAUACUUUAAUACACUCUAAAUACGUUUCAUAAGCAAAAGAGAUAAUAGUUUCGGUUCUGUAUUUAAGUUUCUGCCCGGAUUUUUAUUUGGCCGUUUGUGUCCGAGUUCUUGCGGUGAAGGUCGUUGCCCCUGCCCGUUUGUUUCAGCUCGCUGCACACAAGUAGGUAAACUCCAUUUUAUUUUUAUUUCCAACUCUUUAGCCGAUGCACUAUUGCGAUGUCAGUGGUGGCUGUUUGUUAAUUUGUCUUUCUUCUUCCUUUCUCGGCUUUUGUUGUUGCUCGGAUGAGUCUUAGAAUUCCUCUUUUGAGUCAGCUAUCAUGUUAAGGGUUUAUUUUGUCAUAAUGAAGUCUCUAGUGUCAUCACUUCGCUAACGUUUAGAAUUUUUGCAUUAUUGAUGGAUAUUGCAUUUGGUCGUUAUUGUUGAGUUGGGCUGCUAGCAUUUGCUUGUAAUCCUAAGUGUUUGGUUUGCUGUUAAUGGCAAUAAUGAGGUAAUUUCAGCUUAAAGUUCAUGCUUGGCUUAGUGUGGUUUUAUUUCGAUUUGAACAGUAAAUGGGCAUGUUAUUCUUAGACCUGCAAUUUCAUUAGCUUAUUCCCGUGGUUUCGAGCAUUGUUAAUUUUGUUGUAUUGCCUGAGAUGCGUUGCAUUCUUAUUGGCUGUCUCUAUUGACGUUUUAAAAUUACCCAAGAGUAGUUCUGCACUGCCUUUGUUUGGCUUGCCUUAACUCCAACUUGUUUAGGAUCAGUGUACUUUUCUGUCUCUGAGAUACAUGUUUUGGAGCCUAUAUAAUUUUUGGUGUUGACCAUUUUGCUUAUUCUGUCCAAUAAUAUUAUUUUGUCCCGUAUUGUUAGAUAUUAGUUAUCAUUCUUAGUUCAUUAGCGUUUCAUUUAAUUAUCAGUUACAGUCAUUCUAAUUUUCUUUCCUCUUUCGUUCCAUGUGAAAUUGGCCCGAGUUCAUAUCCUCUCCCUUGCAUUUUCGAGAGAGCCAUAAAGGCUCAAAUUCCUCCUAUCGAGUCAGUCGACAGAAAAAUUUGAAGAACCGGCCAUUAAAAAUUGACAAACAAGUCCCGAGGUUGAAGGAGCAACCGAUUGAGAAAUUUGAAAAGAUUGGGCCAAAGGCCCACUCUUAAUUCAUAAUAGUUGUAUUUUGUUAUUUUGGGCCUAAGCCCUUGUCAUUUUAAUUGUUAUUGUUGUAUUAGUUUAGGACAGGUGGAAGAAUUGAGACUAAGGUCCAAAAGAUAGAAAAUACUUCUAUUAUGCUAGAAUAGGACAGGUACAAAUGACUUAAAUGGGCCGAAGGCCCAAAACGAAAAUGGGCCCAAAUACUGGUUCAGGCGGACAGAAACCAGAUUUGGGUCCAACCCUCUUUACUUUACUGUGUUUGUUUUGCUUGUUAGUAUUUGUCGUUAAUCUUAGGGUUGAAAAGUUCAAAUCCCCGUUAAGACGCCCGUUGUGUUUUAUCAAUUUAGCUAAAAUCGAUCAUCCUCAACAAGACUUAAAGAAUAAAUGUUGCAAAAAUUAGCUCACUUAGACAAUAUUUAAGUACUUCCCUUUUCCCCCUUAAAAUAGUUCUAACUAUAAAACAACUUAAUUUUGUAAGUCAAACUAAUUUAAAAUUAUUUUAGCCAAAUAAAUUAAUUGUCGGAUAACCGCAUUAGCGGAUAUUUUAGGUGCUUUAAAAACUUUCCUAGAAUAUUAAUAGGAACCUCGAAC